CCUACGGGUGGCAGCAGUGAGGAAUAUUGGUCAAUGGCCGGAAGGCUGAACCAGCCAUGCCGCGUGAAGGUCAGUGCCCUAUGGGCGUUAAACUUCUUUUGUGCGGGAGCAAUAAUGGUCACGUGUGGCCAGACGAGAGUACCGUACGAAUAAGCAUCGGCUAACUACGUGCCAGCAGCCGCGGUAAUACGGGGGAUGCAAGCGUUAUCCGGAUUUAGUGGGUUGAAAGGGUGCGUAGGCUGUGAGGUAAGUCAGCGGUGAAAUGCCCCGGCUCAACGGGGUGAAGUGCCAUUGAUACUGCCUUGCUGGAGUGCGGAUGAGGUGGGAGGAAUGUGUGGUGUAGCGGUGAAAUGCGUAGAUAUCACGCAGAACACCAGUUGCGAAGGCAACUCACGAAUCCGUGAUUGACGCUGAGGCACGAAAGCGUGGGUAUCAAACAGGAUUAGAUACCCUUGUAGUC
rnacentral:rRNA from 1 species